rnacentral:rRNA from 1 species
GGGCGUCGAGCGGCGGACGGGUGAGUAAUGCUUAGGAAUUUGCCCAGUCGAGGGGGAUAACCAUUGGAAACGAUGGCUAAUACCGCAUACGCCCUACGGGGGAAAGAGGGGGAUGCUUCGGCACCUUUCGCGAUUGGAUAAGCCUAAGUGAGAUUAGCUAGUUGGUGAGGUAAAGGCUCACCAAGGCGACGAUCUCUAGCUGGUUUGAGAGGAUGAUCAGCCACACUGGAACUGAGACACGGUCCAGACUCCUACGGGAGGCAGCAGUGGGGAAUAUUGCACAAUGGGCGCAAGCCUGAUGCAGCCAUGCCGCGUGUAUGAAGAAGGCCUUCGGGUUGUAAAGUACUUUCAGCGAGGAGGAAAGGGUGUGAGUUAAUACCUUACAUCUGUGACGUUACUCGCAGAAGAAGCACCGGCUAACUCCGUGCCAGCAGCCGCGGUAAUACGGAGGGUGCGAGCGUUAAUCGGAAUUACUGGGCGUAAAGCGCAUGCAGGCGGUUUGUUAAGCGAGAUGUGAAAGCCCCGGGCUCAACCUGGGAACUGCAUUUCGAACUGGCAAACUAGAGUCUUGUAGAGGGAGGUAGAAUUUCAGGUGUAGCGGUGAAAUGCGUAGAGAUCUGAAGGAAUACCAGUGGCGAAGGCGGCCUCCUGGACAAAGACUGACGCUCAGAUGCGAAAGCGUGGGGAGCAAACAGGAUUAGAUACCCUGGUAGUCCACGCCGUAAACGAUGUCUAUUAGGAGUCUGUGCCCUUGAGGCGUGGGUUCCAAAGCUAACGCAUUAAAUAGACCGCCUGGGGAGUACGGCCGCAAGGUUAAAACUCAAAUGAAUUGACGGGGGCCCGCACAAGCGGUGGAGCAUGUGGUUUAAUUCGAUGCAACGCG